AUCACUUCUCGGCAUUUUGGCUAAGAUCAAGUGUAGUAUCUGUUCUUCAGUUUAAUAUCUGAUACAUCCUCGGUGAGAGAACUUAUUUCUU